UUUUGCAUUUUUGUAACGAUGGUUUUAUUCGUUAUAUUCAGUCUUUCCAGGUAUCCUGCAAGCUUCUUGGUAACUAGCCCAGUGGCCGAUAUAAUUACAGGGAUAACAUGUACUGCUUUUAGGGUGAGUAUUUUUUUAUAUUCCUCUGCCAAGUCGUAAUACUUAUUAAUUUUUUCUCUCUCUUUCUGUUCCAGGUUGUGGUCCGAGGGAUGGGAGACGUCGAUGAAAUACGCCUUUUUAUUAGCCUUAUCCAGCAGAAUAAUGUCUGGUCUAUUGCUGGCUAUUGGUUUAUCUGGUGUAUCCCAGUAUAGCCGAUAAUUUUCGUUCUCAAGAACUGGAACAGAUGAAAGGUGUCGAGAGCUUUCUUCUCAUAUUCGCGAUGACUGGUGAUAGUGGAGAACCCAUAGCUGUUCCCGACGUUUGUUCAAACAUUUGACCGUUAUAAGAAAAAUAUGUCGCCGAUAAGCAUUUUUCAAUUAAGUACACAACCAAGGUUGCUUUGGCCGACACGCUGCCCACCAAGUUGUCCGCGUUGCAUAUGUAGACGCCUUCGUCGCCGGGUUGCACGUUGUCUAUCUGCAGCGAUUUGUCGUCUA